AACGAUAGAUAAAUGUCCCUUCUACAACAUGUGAUGUGUGUCUUCUCGAAUUUGUGCGAUUUCGGAUGAGCAAUAUUAUUUUGAAUGAUAAAAAUCGUUGUUGAAGCUUGCACAUAUUAAAAUGUCAGAAGAAACAGGUAUGUCCUUAAUCUUUGUGUUUAAGCUCUAAUUUGAUGUAUAAUUUGUAUUGUGAAAGCCUCCAAGUCACUCCCUAAUUGUAUUUGAAUAUUAGGUAUUUCAAAGUAUGGAAGCGACUUCGCUAAGUAAAAAUGUUGUGUGAUUGCCGGAAUACGAAG